CGCGGCCUAUCAGCUUGUUGGUGAGGUAAUGGCUCACCAAGGCGACGACGGGUAGCCGGCCUGAGAGGGUGACCGGCCACACUGGGACUGAGACACGGCCCAGACUCCUACGGGAGGCAGCAGUGGGGAAUAUUGCACAAUGGGCGAAAGCCUGAUGCAGCGACGCCGCGUGAGGGACGACGGCCUUCGGGUUGUAAACCUCUUUCAGCAGGGAAUAAGCGAAAGUGAAGGUACCUGCAGAAGAAGCACCGGCUAACUACGUGCCAGCAGCCGCGGUAAUACGUAGGGUGCAAGCGUUAUCCGGAAUUAUUGGGCGUAAAGAGCUCGUAGGCGGUUUGUCGCGUCCGUCGUGAAAGUCCGGGGCUCAACUCCGGAUCUGCGGUGGGUACGGGCAGACUAGAGUGAUGUAGGGGAGACUGGAAUUCCUGGUGUAGCGGUGGAAUGCGCAGAUAUCAGGAGGAACACCGAUGGCGAAGGCAGGUCUCUGGGCAUUAACUGACGCUGAGGAGCGAAAGCAUGGGGAGCGAACAGGAUUAGAUACCCUGGUAGUCCAUGCCGUAAACGUUGGGCACUAGGUGUGGGGGACAUUCCACGUUUUCCGCGCCGUAGCUAACGCAUUAAGUGCCCCGCCUGGGGAGUACGG
rnacentral:rRNA from 1 species